rnacentral:rRNA from 1 species
AUUGAACGCUGGCGGCAUGCCUUACACAUGCAAGUCGAACGGUAGCGGGCCUUCGGGUGCCGACGAGUGGCGAACGGGUGAGUAAUGUAUCGGAACGUACCUUUCAGUGGGGGAUAACGUAGCGAAAGUUGCGCUAAUACCGCAUAUUCUUUGAGCAGGAAAGCAGGGGGUCGCAAGACCUUGCGCUGAUUGAGCGGCCGAUAUCAGAUUAGCUAGUUGGUGAGGUAAAGGCUCACCAAGGCGACGAUCUGUAGCGGGUCUGAGAGGAUGAUCCGCCACACUGGAACUGAGACACGGUCCAGACUCCUACGGGAGGCAGCAGUGGGGAAUUUUGGACAAUGGGGGCAACCCUGAUCCAGCCAUGCCGCGUGAGUGAAGAAGGCCUUCGGGUUGUAAAGCUCUUUCGGCCGGGAAGAAAUCGCACGGGCUAAUACCCUGUGUGGAUGACGGUACCGGAAUAAGAAGCACCGGCUAACUACGUGCCAGCAGCCGCAGUAAAAC